UCAAUUACUUAAUUAAGUAACAAUUUACUUAUUAAUUAACUUUUCACAAUAGAUUUUUUUCUAUUGUGAAAAGUUUAAUAGAACUUAAAUUCAAUUUGAGAUUUAAAUAUUUCCUAUCUUAUCUUAUAUAUAUUAUAAAUUUUUUUUUAAUUUUUUAAAAAUUAAAAAAAGAUUUAUAAUUUACUGUUAAUUUUAACAUUAAAAAAUAAAAAAAGAUAAAUGAUAAAAACUUUGCAUUUAUUUUUUAAUNNNAUUCUACUAGAAUAUUAAAAAAUAAAAAAGACUAAAUUCUUUUUGUUUUUUGUAAUUUUUUUAAAUAUUAAAAAAAAUGAUUUUUCUUCCUAUCAUUAUUGAUACGGAAAAUAAGAUAAAUGAUAAAAAAAUAGUAAGUUUUAUAAAAAAAGUAAGAUUUUGCCAUUGAGGAUGUCAAAAUAAAAUGAAAAAAAAUCUUUUCUCUUUAUCCAUUCUAAAAUUUCUUAUUUCAAAUANAAAUUUUUAAAUCUUGACGANUUAAACAUGAANUUGGCUUAUUAUUUAAAAAAAGCCGCC
rnacentral:misc_RNA from 1 species